CUUUCUUUCGGGUGGCACCGGGCAGCAGGCGGCAGGACACGAAAGGGAGCUUCCAGACCUGCUUCAGCAAGUGGAGAAAAUAAUGGAUGCCAGCCACUCGGGCUCCUCAUGGGCACUCAGACAGCGGUGCUCGCGUGAAUGAAUGAACGAAUGAAUGAAUGGGAUAAUAAAUGGAAGUGUCAUGGAAGAUUUACUGAGUGACACGCUUAGACCUCUGCCUUGGAAGACAAAUCUGGCGGGAUGUGAGCGGUGGCUGAAGAGGGGGACGCCGGGAUCAGAAGCAGGGUGCUCAGGUGCAAGGGGGCAGUGAGGGUGGCCCGUAGGGGCCCCGUCCAAGGGACACUUGGAAGUUAAGCACCAGAACGCGGUGACUGGCUAGUGAGAGGAGGGCAGGAUAUGGCCCAUGACUCUGAGCUCAGGUCACACUCCCACCGCAGGGAGAGAACCUGGGGUCGCUCUGGAGACUUUGAAGCAGGGGCUGGGGAAGGAGGACAGACGGCAAGAAGGGAGUAAAAUACCCGGAAAUAAUGAGAUCGAAGGGGAGGAGAGGCCCAGGAGGCUGCGGCUCCCCUGAAACGAAGUUUGCCCACCGCAGAAAGGGGUGCCCAGCCAAGGGGACCACGUGCAGGCCAGGAGGACACCAGACUCAGCUCUCUGCAUUUGAUAAUUACAAGACAAUGGUUUGGGGACUUGGGGGUCCCAUGUUCAAACAUGAUUCCUCCUGGCAGCUUCUCCUGCUAACUUGCCCCUGAUUUCCCAUGCUGAGAACUGUUACUUCGAAAUGAUCACUCAGCCCCCUGACAACACUGGGGACGUUCUUUUAUUUCACAGACUCUUUUAAGGAUCUAUUUUGGUUGUGCCAAAAGUAAGAGAGAGAGAAAAGGAGAAAUACAUGGUCCUCUGGGCAUAUUUUUAUGCCUUAAUGAAACCAAUAUUAUGGGAACAACUACAAAUGUGCAGGUAAUUGGUCUAACCUCUUCUGAAUCAUGCUGGAGGAGAAGAAUGCCAGAGGAAUAAAAACGAUUUUGUUUAAACAAGAUACGUGGACUAGAUCUAGCUUUCUCAAGAGUUGCUCCUCCGCUCACUGAGGUUGUACUGUGCAAGAUGAGUUUCCGCUGUGAUGACAGGCAACCCAGAACAGCAGAUCCACUUUGUCAGGGAGAGGCAGCUGGGAUGGGGCAGCCCAGGCCCAGCCUGCAGAUGCACCUUCAGAGAGGACUCGCCCUCUAUGCACACUCACCCUCAUUCACACGCUUUGUGUCUAAAGAGGGAGCUAGAGCUAUAGCCACGCUAAUUCCAGGCAGGAAGGCGGAAAGCAGAAGGAAAGACCAAAGGCCUUUGCUUAGCCGUGUGCUCCCCCUUAAGUAACUUCCCAGAAACCCUCUCGCUACUGUGUGGUCUGCGCUCUGUUGCACUGGCCAGCUCUUAGUCAUAUGGAUGUCUGUAGUCAGUCAAGAGAGGUUGGGAAACCUGGUUCGUUCUCAAGUGUGCAAACGCAGCUGUCCCAGGGUAUGUGUGGGGUUUCUCAUCUGAAGAAAAGCAGAGGAGGAGUGGGUAAUGACAUCCGGUCAUCUCUUCCUUCAAUGCCAGGGCACACUGUACCUACCUGACAAGUCCUAAAUGCAUGAAAGCAAACAGGUAGUGACGUCAUGCUCAGGACUACAGAUAUUUGACAGCUAAUGACGUUAAUAUCUUCUCUCCUCAUGUCCUCGUAGAUUUUAAUCCAAUACAAAUACUGAGAAAUGUUGACACUGUAAAUGUAUCUUCUUGCAUUCAGAAAACAAAAAAGCAUAAUAUUUAAUGAA